GCAUUGGUGGUUCAGUGGUAGAAUUCUCGCCUUCCAUACGGGAGACCUGGGUUCGAUACCAGGCAAUGCA
rnacentral:tRNA from 1 species